GAAAUGCGAUAAGUAAUGUGAAUUGCAGAAUUCAGUGAAUCAUCGGAUCUUUGAACGCACCUUGCGCUCCUUGGUAUUCCUUGGAGCAUGCCUGUUUGAGUAUCAUGAAAUCUUCAAAGUAAAUCUUUUGUUAACUCAAUUGGUUUCUACUUUGGUAUUGGAGGUCUUUGCAGCUUCACACCUGCUCCUCUUUGUUCAUUAGCUGGAUCUCAGUGUUAUGCUUGGUUCCACUCGGCGUGAUAAGUUAUCUAUCGCUGAGGACACUGUAAAAGGUGGCCAAGGUAAAUGCAGAUGAACCGCUUCUAAUAGUCCAUUGACUUGGACAAUACUUUUAUGAUCUGAUCUCAAAUCAGGUAGGACUACCCGCUGAACUUAAGC
rnacentral:misc_RNA from 1 species